rnacentral:rRNA from 1 species
GACGUAGGGCGCGAGCGUUGUCCGGAUUUAUUGGGCGUAAAGAGCUCGUAGGCGGCUUGUUGCGUCGACUGUGAAAACCCGCGGCUUAACUGCGGGCUUGCAGUUGAUACGGGCAGGCUAGAGUUCGGUAGGGGAGACUGGAAUUCCUGGUGUAGCGGUAAAAUGCGCAGAUAUCAGGAGGAACACCGGUGGCGAAGGCGGGUCUCUGGGCCGAUACUGACGCUGAGGAGCGAAAGCGUGGGGAGCAAACAGG